GGAUCAGUUGGUCGGUCGUGCCUCGGUACGUACUGGUCAAAUUGAUUCCUACCUUCUGACGAACCACGAUGUCAUUAAUUUGGUGUCAUGGGGAAUCAGGACUGUUACUUUGAAAAAAUUAGAGUGUUUAAAGCAGGCUCACGCUUGAAUACAUUAGCAUGGAAUAACGAAAUAGGACGUUCGAUCCUAUUUUGUUGGUUUCUAGGAUUGACGUA
rnacentral:rRNA from 1 species